rnacentral:rRNA from 1 species
GUCGGGAAUCUUGCACAAUGGGCGAAAGCCUGAUGCAGCAACGCCGCGUGAGGGAUGAAGGCCCUCGGGUCGUAAACCUCUGUCGGAAGGGAAGAACGUAUUUCGGGCCAAUACCCCGGGAUACUGACGGUACCUUCAAAGGAAGCGCCGGCUAACUCCGUGCCAGCAGCCGCGGUAAUACGGAGGGCGCGAGCGUUAUUCGGAAUUAUUGGGCGUAAAGCGCGUGUAGGCGGCUGGGAAAGUCGGGUGUGAAAGCCCGGGGCUCAACCCCGGAAUUGCAUUCGAAACUACCCAGCUAGAGUCUCGGAGAGGAGGGCGGAAUUCCCGGUGUAGAGGUGAAAUUCGUAGAUAUCGGGAGGAACACCAGUGGCGAAGGCGGCCCUCUGGACGAUGACUGACGCUGAGACGCGAAAGCGUGGGGAGCAAACAGG